ensembl:lncRNA LINC00968 long intergenic non-protein coding RNA 968
AGUGUGAGAUGGAAGAUGAUGUCGCAAGGGUGGAGCCCAGUUGACAGGAAAUGUUUCUCCAGAAGCUGAAAAGCUGCCUGGUAAAGGCCUUUCAUAAAAUGGUCUGCGUUUGGGACCAGGAAGACAGAAGACUCCUCAAGAAGAGAACUGGAACCUUAACCCACUUCAGACUUCUUCAUGUCUGAAGCUUAUUUCCACCAUCCCAUUGAGAACCAAAGAAGCGAGCUCCUUGGAGAAUCGGCUCCCACCUGGACCUUCUGUUUAUCCUUCCAAUAGCUGCUGCAUUCAUCCUUCCCAGCUAAUGACACUUCCAGCCUUUCGUGUUUCAAAGUAUCACGGACUUUGCAAAAGAUUCCAGGUUUCUAUGGAGCAGAUAGUACUUUUAACAAUCAACAUGUGCAUUAUUAUUUCCUCCUAAGGCAUACUUAGACAUCAAUGCAUGCUACAGCAAGGCAACUUAUCUCACCCUCACCAAGGUGGCUUCUUCUUGGAUAUCUGAAUGGUGGUGAGAUCAACCUCUGGGCCAGCCAAGUAUGGAACUCAAUCCAAAACAACGGACUUCUU